rnacentral:lncRNA from 1 species
UUCCAGGAUGCCCACUGGAUCCAAAGAGAGAAACUCUAUAGAAUUAUGAUCUAGGUUUGACUGACUCCUGGCAAGAAGCCCUACCCGCCAGCCAAUUUGGAUGAGCUCUUAUGCUCCAGAUCCAUCAUGAGAAGAACAUGCCCUGGAUUCCUGCUAUCCCUUUAGCCAUGGCUCCAAAAUUAACACACACAAGGAAGACCUGAGGUCAAUCCACAGCCUGGAUUCAAGUCACCUAAUACAUAGGAGAAUCAGAGCUACCCAGCCACACUCAAUCUACGUUAACUGAACCUCAGCUGACCUGCAGAUUUAUGAGUAUGAGA